rnacentral:rRNA from 1 species
GGUGAACCUGCGGAAGGAUCAUUACCACACCAAAAAAACUUUCCACGUGAACCGUUCUGUCCGUUUUGUGCCGUUGCUGUUGUCGUGCUUCGACGAGAAGAGCAGUGGCUAAACGAAGGCUGUGAGCUUCGUGCUUGCGGUCGAUUUAUUCUUUCAAACCCCAUACGUUAAGAACUGAAGUAUACUGUGAGGACGAAAGUCCUUGCUUUGAACUAGAUAGCAACUUUCAGCAGUGGAUGUCUAGGCUCGCACAUCGAUGAAGAACGCUGCGAACUGCGAUACGUAAUGCGAAUUGCAGGAUUCAGUGAGUCAUCGAAAUUUUGAACGCAUAUUGCACUUUCGGGUUAUGCCUGGAAGUAUGUCUGUAUCAGUGUCCGUACCUCAACCUUGCCUUUCUUUUCCGGUGUAGUCCGGAGCGGAAACGUGCAGACUUGAAGUGUCUCGCUUGUUGGUUUGCGAAAGCAAUUUUGCAACACAGCUGGGCGAGUCCUUUGAAAUGGACACGAUCUUUCUACUGUUUUCUACGGAGUGUGGCGCUCGAAAAGCGGCGGUUUCCUUCGGGAUCGCUCGCAGUUUGGACGGCGACUUUGGCGAAUGCAUAUGGGAAGCAGACUCGACUCGCGGUACGUUAGGCGUGGUGCUGUUGCUUUGUUGCAACGGCGUCGUGCUGAACAAUGUUGCGUGUUGUGGUGUUGUUUCCUGUGUUCGCUUCGAGGUGUACUGUCUAUUGGCUGUGAGAGUGAACCUUUGUGGGAUGUGUAUGCCGUCGUUCGGUAGAGCGCUGCGUGAUACUGUUGUGGGAAUGCCAUGGCUUUGUCGGCUAUUGGUAAAGUAGUGAGACGGAAUUUGGGAAGUAUUGUGUGUACUCGCGCGUGCAGCGCGUGUGUGCUCAUCUCAAUUGGACCUGAUAUCAGACAAGC